rnacentral:rRNA from 1 species
UCGAGCGAACGGACGAGAAGCUUGCUUCUCUGAUGUUAGCGGCGGACGGGUGAGUAACACGUGGAUAACCUACCUAUAAGACUGGGAUAACUUCGGGAAACCGGAGCUAAUACCGGAUAAUAUUUUGAACCGCAUGGUUCAAAAGUGAAAGACGGUCUUGCUGUCACUUAUAGAUGGAUCCGCGCUGCAUUAGCUAGUUGGUAAGGUAACGGCUUACCAAGGCAACGAUGCAUAGCCGACCUGAGAGGGUGAUCGGCCACACUGGAACUGAGACACGGUCCAGACCCCUACGGGAGGCAGCAGUAGGGAAUCUUCCGCAAUGGGCGAAAGCCUGACGGAGCAACGCCGCGUGAGUGAUGAAGGUCUUCGGAUCGUAAAACUCUGUUAUUAGGGAAGAACAUAUGUGUAAGUAACUGUGCACAUCUUGACGGUACCUAAUCAGAAAGCCACGGCUAACUACGUGCCAGCAGCCGCGGUAAUACGUAGGUGGCAAGCGUUAUCCGGAAUUAUUGGGCGUAAAGCGCGCGUAGGCGGUUUUUUAAGUCUGAUGUGAAAGCCCACGGCUCAACCGUGGAGGGUCAUUGGAAACUGGAAAACUUGAGUGCAGAAGAGGAAAGUGGAAUUCCAUGUGUAGCGGUGAAAUGCGCAGAGAUAUGGAGGAACACCAGUGGCGAAGGCGACUUUCUGGUCUGUAACUGACGCUGAUGUGCGAAAGCGUGGGGAUCAAACAGGAUUA